AAUAUUGGACAAUGGGCGCAAGCCUGAUCCAGCAACGCCGCGUGGAGGACGAAGGUCUUCGGAUCGUAAACUCCUGUCAGGCGGGACGAAGGCUUCCGUGCGAACAGUUCGGAAGCUUGACGGUACUGCCAGAGGAAGCCCCGGCUAACUCCGUUCCAGCAGCCGCGGUAAUACGGAGGGGGCUAGCGUUAUUCGGAAUUAUUGGGCGUAAAGGGCGCGUAGGCGGCCCGGUAAGUCAAAGGUGAAAUCCCUCGGCUCAACUGAGGAACUGCCUUUGAAACUGUCGGGCUUGAGGCCGGGAGGGGGUAGCGGAAUUCCCAGUGUAGCGGUGAAAUUCGUAGAUAUUCGGAAGAACACCAGUGGCGAAGGCGACUCACUGGACACGUAUUGACGCUGAGGUGCGAAAGCGUGGGGAGCAAAC
rnacentral:rRNA from 1 species